rnacentral:tRNA from 1 species
UGGGAUGUAGCUCAGUGACAGAGCGUUUACCUAGCAUGAGGAAGGUUCUAGGUUCAAUCCCCAGCAUUGCAA